AACCAGGAAGGUGAAUAAAGAGAAGCAAACUCCUUCUUCCUCCCAUUUCCAGUGUCUCAAAUUUCUGUGUUCCUGAGUGUGAUUGUGAGCAAUCCAGUGGCUCGAUUUCUAACACGUUAUCAGCACCAGUUCUACCGAGCUAAAAGGUAAAAAGGUAGGAAAUCGAUUCACUCGAUGCUCACUUUUGUUCAUGAACAAACACACACAUGAGCACGAACACGACUAUCUCGUUGCCAUCCCGAAGAUGUGCAUACAAACCAAUCUGUCGCCGUCCUGAAGACGCACGGACAAAAACAUCGGCCUUGAAGCGCGCAUGAAGAUCGAAUCGCCGCCAUCCUGAAGAUGAGCGGGCCAAACAACAUCGUCCCGAAGACAUGCGAACCGGGCAGACCCGCAAUGUAGGCUACGGAUGCCAUGCUACCGCGCACCUGCCGCACUCGCUGGAGUCAUGCCGCCAUGGCCGCGCGCCCCUGCAGGAGCCGCGGGCAGGCCGCGCCUUGGCCGGUGAGCCAUGCCCUCGCCGGGAAAGGCCACACGCCCGCGUGUAGGGCCGCGCCCAAGCCGAGCCAGGCAGGCCACGCCCUGCCGCGUCGUGGGCGGGUCACGUGCCCCCUGCUGGCCGUGGAGGGGACGGGGCCGUGCGCGCCUCUGG
rnacentral:lncRNA from 1 species